GUCAGCAGCCCUGAAGUUGGACUUUUAUCACUUCUUUCUUUUUAGUUGUUGUUUGCUUUCUUUAUUACAUUUAUCAGGACUUAAGGAUGUUUUAGCUGAGUGGCGAUCAUGGGAGCUGUAACAUUUUCUCUGUGUUGCAGCCGAAGUAGCAAGGCUGUUUGCUCCAUACAACAACAACAACAACAACAACAACAACAACAACAACAACAACAACAAUUUGGCUGACAACAAGGCUGAUAAAGUUCCAAGCAUUCAGCUUAAAGCAGACCUUCUUGCUUCAGGACUUGGAGAACAAAGGUGAUCUUUUCAGGAAAUGACAACGAUCCCAUGGUUGUAACAAACAAACUGAUGGAGGUGUUUCCAAAGCUGCAAGAAGGGGGAGGCUUUGAGUUUCUAAAAAUUGCAGGAUCUACUCGCAGUCGAAAUCUUGGACUUCUUCAAUGUCCCAGCACAGGAUACACCCUUACCUAUCUAAAAGAUCCAUCUCCAACAAUUGGACAGGCUACAAUUGACAUACGCCCACUUCAACAGGACCUACCCAUUGAUUCAGUGUGGAAAUUUACACUGUCACCAUUUGAUACAUAGUUCAAAUAAAUUGCACUGUGGAGUUUUAAUCAAUACUUAACAGAUUUGUUGUUCUUAGGAAAGCUCGGGACAUGCCUCUGGUCCAGAAGGAGGUUCCCUUCUCUGAAAUGAAACUGCACCGAGCUAACUGGGAUGGCUAUGCACUUGUUAAAGAUAUAUAAGAAUUACAUAUUCAUUUUUCAAUAAGAAAUGUCUUUUUAGUUUUUGUGCACACAGAUGAGAGGAAAUGUCUAUAACAUUUUCUGAACUUCAAGGACCCCCAUGCAGGAAACACAUAGAGAAGGAGAGGGAGACCGUGGUGAGGAGAAUGAUAGAGAGCCACCCACUGACAGGGACAGCGUUCCAGUGAGGCCUGAAACAUCUGUAGAGAGUGAAGUAGAACCAGUAGUGAUUGAAAACUGGAAGAUUAUUAAAGAACCAACUCUGGCUGCCCAAGUUUUCAAAGAUAAUCUACUAAGUGAACAUGCAACCGGGAAGCCUCUUAAACUGAAAAUGGAUGUA